rnacentral:rRNA from 1 species
GACGGAGGGGGCUAGCGUUGUUCGGAAUUACUGGGCGUAAAGGGCGCGUAGGCGGUUUAGUAAGUUGGGCGUGAAAGCCCGGGGCUUAACCUCGGAACUGCUUUCAAAACUGCUAGUCUUGAGUGAAGUAGGGGAUGAUGGAAUUCCUAGUGUAGAGGUGAAAUUCUUAGAUAUUAGGAGGAACACCGGUGGCGAAGGCGGUCAUCUGGACUUCAACUGACGCUGAGGCGCGAAAGCGUGGGGAGCAAACAGG